GGGGAAUAUUGGACAAUGGACCGAGAGUCUGAUCCAGCAAUUCUGUGUGCACGAUGAAGUUUUUCGGAAUGUAAAGUGCUUUCAGUUGGGAAGAAAAAAAUGACGGUACCAACAGAAGAAGUGACGGCUAAAUACGUGCCAGCAGCCGCGGUAAUACGUAUGUCACGAGCGUUAUCCGGAUUUAUUGGGCGUAAAGCGCGUCUAGGUGGUUAUGUAAGUCUGAUGUGAAAAUGCAGGGCUCAACUCUGUAUUGCGUUGGAAACUGUAUAACUAGAGUACUGGAGAGGUAAGCGGAACUACAAGUGUAGAGGUGAAAUUCGUAGAUAUUUAUAGGAAUGCCGAUGGGGAAGCCAGCUUACUGGACAGAUACUGACGCUGAAGCGCGAAAGCGUGGGUAGCAAACAGGAUUAGAUACCCUGGUAGUCCACGCCGUAAACGAUGAUUACUAGGUGUUGGGGGUCGAACCUCAGCGCCCAAGCAAACGCGAUAAGUAAUCCGCCUGGGGAGUACGUACGCAAGUAUG
rnacentral:rRNA from 1 species